rnacentral:rRNA from 1 species
GACGUAGGGGGCAAGCGUUGUCCGGAAUUAUUGGGCGUAAAGCGCACGUAGGCGGUUCGUUAUGUCGGAUGUGAAAGCCCUUGGCUUAACCGAGGAAGUGCAUCCGAAACUGGCGAGCUAGAGUACGAAAGAGGAUCGCGGAAUUCCCGGUGUAGAGGUGAAAUUCGUAGAUAUCGGGAGGAACACCGGUGGCGAAGGCGGCGAUCUGGGUCGAUACUGACGCUGAGGUGCGAAAGCGUGGGGAGCAAACAGG